CUCUCAUAUUUGAACUUUUUCACACAUUUUCUAAAUUUUUUUCUUUUUUUCUAAUAUUUUGGUUUUUAAGAAAUCAGAGAAACCACUGGCAACAGUGCUUUCUCUUCCGGCACCGGCGACCAUCCGGCCUUUUCACUAUCACAUAUACUUUCCAACUCUCAUAGAAACCACUCUUCCACAAGACAUCUCGAUUGAUUCCUCUGUGCCAUUCUUUCUCUUAAGUCUUAACUAUAUUGGAUUCGCCCAGUCGUGGACAAGAAAACAAGCAUUGUCUUUCAACUUUCAACAUGGUUAUUGGUGUUUAUCUAUAUUUCUAGUUUUUUAAGGGUCUGUUGCAUCAGACAGUAUAUAAUCAAUAAAUAACAACUGCCUCAUGCCAACAAAUCAUAUGUUAAGAUGAAAUGGGUAAGUAAAUAGUAACACUCUUUCACACCUUCUCGGGAAUCAAUGCGAACAUGCUCAAUCCUGAUAACACCAUUAAUCGAUAGUGGAUAGAGCGUACGUUGGCCACCGCAGUAGAGGGGAGGAGCUCAGUCUACUCGGUAGCCACUGAGAGAUAUCCAUGGGCUGAUAAUCAUACCGCCCUUAUUCUGAAUCUCAUGCAGUUCACUUUCAUGCUGAAGGUGAUGGAGAAGAAGAAAAGUUUGAGCUGGUUUGGUGUCUUCCCCGUCUACUACGACGGCGUUGUUCGAAUCGACCCCAACGACGCAUAUUGCAACGAUUUAGAGUACGACGCCGCUGCUCGGCAACAUUUGCCCGGAGGACCGGCAAGAGUCAAUUAUCCUGUUUUUGAGUACUGUAACACACACCAAGCUCCAGUCGGGCGUGAGGCUAUAGAUCUGAGGAAGCUCACCAGGCAUGGAGGGUUCAUAGUUCUGAUGAUGACCGGAGCCUGGAAACGCUCAUCAAGAUUUCUGACAGAUGGAUGGACCCUCCCGCCCAGGGGACGAAGAAGAAGAGGUCGACCAUGCCUCCCUUACCCAUUCUGAUAACGUAUGGGGGGCUAUGACUAAAUAUAUAGAAUUCAAUAGGGUUUACGAGAGUUUUUCUGCCGCACUGUAUAUAUUUGUGACUGUGGUGUGUCAGAUGGUGCCCCAGACGGCUGAGGAGCAGUACUGGCUCCGCUUAGAGACGAAGAUCACAGUACCUCGCUUUUCUUCUUUUCGAGGUAGAUAUAUAAGAAAAUGUGUGAGAGUUCAAAUAUGAGAGCUGGAGAGUACCUCUGGAUGAUCGCCGAUUGUUGUUGUAGGUCACCGGUGCUGGAGAAGAAUAAGAGAACUCAGGUGAGGGGAGAAGAACGAGGGGUCAGGGGACCGACUGCUCAAGCACGCGGGAAUGUGAAAUGUGAAAAUGAGGGUUUUGAGAUUUGAAAUUGGUUUUGGGAUAGUUUUGGGGCUAACUGGACGAGUUAACGGCCGUCCCGUUAGCCCCGCACACGGGACAAGUUAACUGCAUGCGAAGGGACAGAUGGCGGACGUUCGGCGUGUGAGGCAUUUGUGGGGCGCAUAUUUGAAUUCCUUAGUCUUCCUCUUCAUCCUUUUUAUUAGAAACAUUAUUGAUGGAUUGUAAUUCCGAGCAGUUUUAUGUUUUUAUUAAUGA